CUCUUUAAGGAAGUAAUUUAAAGUAACGCCUGCUCAAUGAUAAAUUAAAUAGCCGCAGUCAUUCUGUGCUAAGGUAGCAUAAUCAUUAGCUUCAUAAUUGGAAGAUUGUAUGAAAGGCUAAACGAAAACCCACUGUCUCAACUCCACUAAUGAACUUACUAAAUUAGUAAAAACCCUAAUAUAAAUAUACAGGACGACAAGACCCCGACAAACUAACCUUUUAGUUGGGGCAACAAAGUAAAGAACCCUUACUUAUCCAACACACCUAAAACAUUUAUCAACGAAUAGUUACUGCGGGGAUAACAGCGCAAUUUUUUAAAAGAGCCCACAUCUAAAAAAAAGAUUACGACCUCGAUGUUGAAUUAACCUAUCUCUAUUCUGGCGCAAAAGCCAUACCAGUCGGGUCUGUUCGACCUCUUAAGGUU
rnacentral:rRNA from 1 species